rnacentral:rRNA from 1 species
UACGGAGGGUGCAAGCGUUGUUCGGAAUCACUGGGCGUAAAGGGCGUGUAGGCGGUCCGCUAAGUCUGAUGUGAAAGCCCGGGGCUCACCCCCGGAAGGGCAUUGGAAACUGGCGGACUCGAGUCUCGGAGAGGAAGGUGGAAUUCCUGGUGUAGCGGUGAAAUGCGUAGAUAUCGUAAGGAAGACCAGUGGCGAAGGCGGGUCUCUGGACAGUUCCUGACGCUGAGGCACGAAGGUCAGGGGAGCAAACAGG